rnacentral:rRNA from 1 species
GUUGUAAACCUCUUUUAGCAGGGAAGAAGCGAAAGUGACGGUACCUGCAGAAAAAGCGCCGGCUAACUACGUGCCAGCAGCCGCGGUAAUACGUAGGGCGCAAGCGUUAUCCGGAAUUAUUGGGCGUAAAGAGCUCGUAGGCGGUUUGUCGCGUCUGCUGUGAAAUCCCGAGGCUCAACCUCGGGCCUGCAGUGGGUACGGGCAGACUAGAGUGCGGUAGGGGAGAUUGGAAUUCCUGGUGUAGCGGUGGAAUGCGCAGAUAUCAGGAGGAACACCGAUGGCGAAGGCAGAACUCUGGGCCGUAACUGACGCUGAGGAGCGAAAGGGUGGGGAGCAAACAGGCAUAGAUACCCUGGUAGUCCACCCCGUAAACGUUGGGAACUAGUUGUGGGGACCAUUCCACGGUUUCCGUGACGCAGCUAACGCAUUAAGUUCCCCGCCUGGGGAGUACGGCCGCAAGGCUAAAACUCAAAGGAAUUGACGGGGACCCGCACAAGCGGCGGAGCACGCGGAUUAAUUCGAUGCAACGCGAAGAACCUUACCAAGGCUUGACAUAUACGAGAACGGGCCAGAAAUGGUCAACUCUUU